AUACUUACCUGGCAAGGAACUUACUAUGAUCACAAAGGGGGUUUUCCCAGGAUGAGGCUUCUCCAUUGCACUCCAGAUGUGCUGACCCCUGCGAUUUCCCCAAAUGUGGGAAACUCAACUGCAUAAUUUGUGGUAGUGGGGGACUGCGUUCACGCUCUCCCCUG